GCUGGAGUAGCUCAGUUGGUUAGAGCGUGUGGUUGUUAACCACAAGGUCGAAGGUUCAAGUCUUUGCUCUUGCG
rnacentral:tRNA from 1 species